rnacentral:rRNA from 1 species
CAGCCGCCGCGGUAAUACGGAGGGGGCUAGCGUUGUUCGGAAUUACUAGGCGUAAAGCGCACGUGGGCGGCUUUGUAAGUUAGAGGUGAAAGCCCGGAGCUCAACUCCGGAAUUGCCUUUAAGACUGCAGAGCUAGCAGGUGAGAGAGGUGAGUGGAAUUCCGAGUGUAGAGGUGAAAUUCGUAGAUAUUCGGAAGAACACCAGUGGCGAAGGCGGCUCACUGGCUCAUACUGGACGCUGAGGUGCGAAAGCGUGGGGAGCAAACAGGAUUAGAUACCCCAGUAGUCCCUGUCUCUUAUAA